rnacentral:rRNA from 1 species
CGUCUGAUUAGCUUGUUGGCGGGGUAACGGCCCACCAAGGCGACGAUCAGUAGGGGUUCUGAGAGGAAGGUCCCCCACAUUGGAACUGAGACACGGUCCAAACUCCUACGGGAGGCAGCAGUGAGGAAUAUUGGUCAAUGGGCGAGAGCCUGAACCAGCCAAGUAGCGUGCAGGAUGACGGCCCUAUGGGUUGUAAACUGCUUUUAUGCGGGGAUAAAGUGAGGGACGUGUCCCUCAUUGCAGGUACCGCAUGAAUAAGGACCGGCUAAUUCCGUGCCAGCAGCCGCGGUAAUACGGAAGGUCCGGGCGUUAUCCGGAUUUAUUGGGUUUAAAGGGAGCGUAGGCCGUGGAUUAAGCGUGUUGUGAAAUGCAGGUGCUCAACGUCUGCACUGCAGCGCGAACUGGUCCACUUGAGUGUGCACAACGCAGGCGGAAUUCGUCGUGUAGCGGUGAAAUGCUUAGAUAUGACGAGGAACCCCGAUUGCGAAGGCAGCUUGCGGGAGCGCAACUGACGCUUAAGCUCGAAGGUGCGGGUAUCAAACAGGAUUAGAUACCCUGGUAGUCCGCACGGUAAACGAUGGAUGCCCGUUGUCAGGCUGUUUCAGCCUGGUGACCAAGCGAAAGCAUUAAGCAUCCCACCUGGGGAGUACGCCGGCAACGGUGAAACUCAAAGGAAUUGACGGGGGCCCGCACAAGCGGAGGAACAUGUGGUUUAAUUCGAUGAUACGCGAGGAACCUUACCCGGGAUUGAAAUGUAUGUGAGCCUUUUGGGAAACCGAGAGGGUUCUCUUCGGAGACACAUAUGUAGGUGCUGCAUGGUUGUCGUCAGCUCGUGCCGUGAGGUGUCGGCUUAAGUGCCAUAACGAGCGCAACCCUUAUCGUCAGUUACUAACAGGUAGAGCUGAGGACUCUGGCGAGACUGCCGUCGUAAGGCGAGAGGAAGGUGGGGAUGACGUCAAAUCAGCACGGCCCUUACAUCCGGGGCGACACACGUGUUACAAUGGUAGGGACAGAGAGUAGCCACUCGGUGACGAGGAGCGGAUCUUGAAACCCUAUCUCAGUUCGGAUCGGAGUCUGCAACUCGACUCCGUGAAGCCGGAUUCGCUAGUAAUCGCGCAUCAGCCAUGGCGCGGUGAAUACGUUCCCGGGCCUUGUACACACCGCCCGUCAAGCCAUGGAAGUUCGGGGUACCUGAAGUCGGUGACCAUUAAAGGAGCUGCCUAGGGUAAAACGAGUAACUAGGGCUAAGUCGUAACAAGGUAGCCGUACCGGAAGGUGCGGCUG